AAACAUUGAUAGCGUUACACCCCACUAUCCGCCCGGGAACUACGAGCAAUAGCUUAAAACCCAAAGGACUUGGCGGUGCUUUAGAUCCACUUAGAGGAGCCUGUUCUAGAACCGAUAAUCCCCGUUCAACCUCACCUUUCCUAGUUUAACCCGCCUAUAUACCGCCGUCGCCAGCUUACCCUGUGAAGGCCUUAUAGUAAGCAAAAAUGAUCUAAAUCCAAGACGUCAGGUCGAGGUGUAGCGCAUGGAAAGGAAAGAAAUGGGCUACAUUCCCUACUUUAGGGUAUACGAAUAAUACACUGAAACGCGUAUUUGAAGGAGGAUUUAAUAGUAAGUAGAAAAUAGAGUGUCCU
rnacentral:rRNA from 1 species